UCUGGGUGUGAAUACAGAUGUCCAAGCAAGGACGAACAAUACCAUUUUUUCAGGCACUAUUUACAACCUGACAAUCCACAAGAGGUAUCUGAAAAGGAUCUUGAAGCUCUCUACGUCGAGGCAAAUACUUACAUGUUAGCUUCACAGUUGUAUUGGGCAUUAUGGGGAAUAAUUCAGGCUAAGAUAUCUCCCAUCGAUUUCGAUUAUGUUGGUUACUUCUUCCUGCGAUACAACGAAUACAAAAAGCAGAAGGAAAAGAGCUUCUCGCUAGCGAGAUCAUACCUCUCAGGAUCUGGGACAGUGUAAAAUCUCUCCCGGAAGCAUAAGCAGGCCUCUUUCUGUUGUGCAUUUUUUUUAGAAUAUUUCUAGUCAUAUUUUGCUUUGUGAUAUUCUUUGUACUCACUAUGUAGAACAAAAUAAGGAAGUGUGAACAAAUAAUAAAUAUCAAGGGCUCUUGGAUUGUUUGCAAUGUUAGUGAAAUCUUUUUGUAUUUGAUCUAUUUGUUUCUUUUUUUUUUUUUUUCCUUUUAA